AGAAUUCUGAAAGAGAUUUGGGCUACGUUUUGUGUUUUGUAUGUGGGCUUUAAAUCUAAAACCCAAGAUAUUUUGUCUUCAUUUUUAUCACUCCGUCGAAAGCAAUAUCAAAGGUCGUCGCCGCCGAAGUGCUGAACCUCCUCAUCCAACCACCGUAUAAUCUUUCAACCAUCGUUCCCGAUAUGUCCUGUUAGAUCCCGCACCCGGUAUAUUAUCAAAUGGUUUUCUACUCUCAGGCGAAACGUUACGGAAGUCGGAUGCAUUCAAACGUCGGCUUUAAUGCGUUCAUUAACAACAUCCUCCAUUCCUCCCAUUAUUUGUCAUUCAAUGCAUCCCCAUUACUGCUAUUGUGUGAAUUUUCAACUAUAAAUAGAGGGUCAAUAACAUCAUGGGUUCUUUUCUUUUUCUCUUAAAGAUAAUGCUUCGAUCAUUUAUCCAACUGAGAUAAUUAAAGCAGCCCAACCGUCGUUGGCUAAAGCCAAGUCUUUCAAAAAGGGCUGGUGGCUAAGGUGGAAAAACUUGAAAAGGAACUUCAAAAAGCCAAACGGCUUGAACCGUGGAGACGAGUUGUGAAAGCUAGAAGGAUGAACCAAAGCUAUGUAAUCAAAUGCUUUCAGUAAUAAUAUUUUAAUAAAGGAGCUGGCACAAAGAUGAAUCCCGUAUACCUUUUAUUUUGAAUCAUGUAUAUAAGAUCUCUUUAUUGUGUAGACAUUAUUGAACUUGCGUACAUAAAACUUUCAAUUUGUAACCGACUAUAAAUGUUUGAAAACAAACAGAACUAUUUAUAUUUUAGAUUUCUAUCACAUUCAUUUAAUGCAA